GAUGAACGCUGGCGGCGUGCCUAAUACAUGCAAGUCGAGCGAACGGACGAGAAGCUUGCUUCUCUGAUGUUAGCGGCGGACGGGUGAGUAACACGUGGAUAACCUACCUAUAAGACUGGGAUAACUUCGGGAGACCGGAGCUAAUACCGGAUAAUAUUUUGAACCGCAUGGUUCAAAAGUGAAAGACGGUCUUGCUGUCACUUAUAGAUGGAUCCGCGCUGCAUUAGCUAGUUGGUAAGGUAACGGCUUACCAAGGCAACGAUGCAUAGCCGACCUGAGAGGGUGAUCGGCCACACUGGAACUGAGACACGGUCCAGACUCCUACGGGAGGCAGCAGUAGGGAAUCUUCCGCAAUGGGCGAAAGCCUGACGGAGCAACGCCGCGUGAGUGAUGAAGGUCUUCGGAUCGUAAAACUCUGUUAUUAGGGAAGAACAUAUGUGUAAGUAACUGUGCACAUCCUGACGGUACCUAAUCAGAAAGCCACGGCUAACUACGUG
rnacentral:rRNA from 1 species